rnacentral:lncRNA from 1 species
AAUAUUUUGGUAAAAAAAACCCUAACUAAAACUAUCAAUUUGAGUUUUAUUGAUUUUAAUCUUAAUAACUAAACUAAAACAAAAAAAAAAUACAAAUUAUACAAAACAAUAACAAUAACAUAAUCAAUUAUUUUUAAAAAAAUACCUUAUUUUUCACUUCUCUUUCUCUCUUUUUCUCUUUUUUUCCGCAGCACCUCUUCUUUCUUUUCUUUUUCUUCUGAUUUUUCUUGUUUCUGCUGGACAGAGGUCGUGUUAAUAACACGAGUAGUGCCACCAAU